CCCCUAGAUGUCCUGGGCCGCACGCGCGCUACACUGAUGCAUGCAACGAGUUUAUAACCUUGGCCUGAAAGGUCUGGGUAAUCUUUUGAACGUGCAUCGUGAUAGGGAUAGAUUAUUGCAAUUGUUAAUCUUGAACGAGGAAUUCCUAGUAAACGCGAGUCAUCAGCUCGCAUUGAUUACGUCCCUGCCCUUUGUACACACCGCCCGUCGCACCUACCGAUUGAAUGGUUCGGUGAAGAUCUCGGACUUCGAUAUUUAUUCUUUAUUGAGUUUAUAUUGUGGGAAGUUAUCUAAACCUCAUCAUUUAGAGGAAGGUGAAGUCGUAACA
rnacentral:rRNA from 1 species